rnacentral:rRNA from 1 species
ACGGGAGGCAGCAGUGGGGAAUAUUGCACAAUGGGGGAAACCCUGAUGCAGCGACGCCGCGUGAGUGAAGAAGUAUUUCGGUAUGUAAGGCUCUAUCAGCAAGGAAGAAAAUGACGGUACUUGACUAAGAAGCCCCGGCUAACUACGUGCCAGCAGCCGCGGUAAUACGUAGGGGGCAAGCGUUAUCCGGAUUUACUGGGUGUAAAGGGAGCGUAGACGGCUGUGUAAGUCUGAAGUGAAAGCCCCGGGCUCAACUCGGGAACUGCUUUGGAAACUGUAGAGCUAGAGUGCAGGAGAGGUAAGUGGAAUUCCUAGUGUAGCGGUGAAAUGCGUAGAUAUUAGGAGGAACACCAGUGGCGAAGGCGGCUUACUGGACUGUAACUGACGUUGAGGCUCGAAGGCGUGGGGGGCAAACAGGAUUAGAUACCCUGGUA